rnacentral:rRNA from 1 species
CAGCCGCCGCGGUAAUACGAGGGGGGCAAGCGUUGUUCGGAAUUGUUGGGCGUAAAGGGUGCGUAGGCGGCUUGACAAGUCUUGUGUGAAAUCUUCAGGCUCAACUUGAAGUCUGCAUGGGAAACUGCGGGGCUGGAGUAUGGGAGAGGUGAGUGGAAUUCCUGGUGUAGCGGUGAAAUGCGUAGAUAUCAGGAGGAACACCUGUGGCGAAAGCGGCUCACUGGACCAUAACUGACGCUGAAGCACGAAAGCUAGGGGAGCAAACAGGAUUAGAUACCCCUGUAGUCCCUGUCUCUUAUAC